rnacentral:rRNA from 1 species
AGUGAACGCUGGCGGUAGGCCUAACACAUGCAAGUCGAACGGCAGCACAGGAGAGCUUGCUCUCUGGGUGGCGAGUGGCGGACGGGUGAGGAAUAUAUCGGAAUCUACUUUUUCGUGGGGGAUAACGUAGGGAAACUUACGCUAAUACCGCAUACGACCUACGGGUGAAAGCAGGGGAUCUUCGGACCUUGCGCGAUUGAAUGAGCCGAUGUCGGAUUAGCUAGUUGGCGGGGUAAAGGCCCACCAAGGCGAAGAUCCGUAGCUGGUCUGAGAGGAUGAUCAGCCACACUGGAGCUGAGACACGGUCCAGACUCCUACGGGAGGCAGCAGUGGGGAAUAUUGGACAAUGGGCGCAAGCCUGACCCAGCCAUACCGCGUGGGUGAAGAAGGCCUUCGGGUUGUAAAGCCCUUUUGUUGGGAAAGAAAUCCAGCUGGUUAAUACCCGGUUGGGAUGACGGUACCCAAAGAAUAAGGACCGGCUAACUACGUGCCAGCCGCCGCAGUAA